rnacentral:lncRNA from 1 species
ACAGUUAACAAUGGUACAGGUAAGGAAGUUUCCACGCCAAGGUCAUGCUUGUCCUGGGUCAUGUGGAUUCAGUGAGUCAGGAGCAGGAGCACUGACCCAUCCAUUUGUAUGUCCAUGACUUCACAAUUAAGUCAGACUUUACAAGGCUCUUGAUUGUUUCAAAUCAGAAUUCUCUAUUUUGAUAUUUUAUUCAACAAAUAUAUCUUUUAUUCUUAAACCCCUAAUUUGCCUGUGAAAGUUGAGAAAACUGAACUGGAUUUAAAAAAAAAAACCAACUUUCAAAGCAUUCGUUAGGCAAACUUUUGAUAGUAGUUUUUAUUUUAAAAGACUGCUUGAAU